GAGGGCAUGGCUCAGUGGCAGAGGAUCAAUCCCUGGUAUCUUCAGAGGAUCAAUCCCUUGGCAUGCAGAAGGUCCCAGGUUCAAUCCCUGGUAUCUUCA
rnacentral:tRNA from 1 species